rfam:Prevotella multiformis DSM 16608 genomic scaffold SCAFFOLD2, whole genome shotgun sequence.
GCCCAGGUGGCGGAAUUGGUAGACGCGCACGUUUCAGGUGCGUGUGUUUUACGACGUGCAGGUUCGAGUCCUGUUCUGGGCA